UACAGAGGUCUCAAGCGUUUGUUCGGAUUUAUUGGGCGUAAAGGGCUCGUAGGCGGCCAACUAAGUCAGACGUGAAAUCCCUCAGCUUAACUGGGGAACUGCGUCUGAUACUGGGAGGCUUGAGUGCGGGAGAGGGAUGCGGAAUUCCAGGUGUAGCGGUGAAAUGCGUAGAUAUCUGGAGGAACACCGGUGGCGAAGGCAGCUCGCUGGAACGUUACUGACGCUGAGACGCGAAAGCGUGGGGAGCAAACAGG
rnacentral:rRNA from 1 species